AUUGAACGCUGGCGGCAGGCCUAACACAUGCAAGUCGAGCGGAGCGGCGGACGGGCGAGUAAUGCCUAGGAAUCUGCCUGGUCGUGGGGGAUAACUACCGGCAACGGGCGCUAACACCGACUACUAUCAGACGAGUCUAGCGCGGAUUAGCUAGUUGGUGGGGUAAAGGCCUACCAAGGCGACGAUCCGUAACUGGGCUGAGAGGAUGAUCAGUCACACUGGAACUGAGACACGGUCCAGACUCCUACGGGAGGCAGCAGUGGGGAAUAUUGGACAAUGGGCGAAAGCAUGAUCCAGCCAUGCCGCGUGUAUGAAGAAGGUCUUCGGAUUGUAAAGCACUUUAAGUUGGGAGGCGUUACCAGCAGAAUAAGCACCGGCUAACUUCGUGCCAGCAGCCGCGGUAAUAC
rnacentral:rRNA from 1 species